UACAGGGGGUGCAAACGUUGCUCGGAAUCAUUGGGCGUAAAGCGCACGUAGGCGGUUCGUUAUGUCGGAUGUGAAAGCCCUUGGCUUAACCGAGGAAGUGCAUCCGAAACUGGCGAGCUAGAGUACUAAAGAGGAUCGCGGAAUUCCCGGUGUAGAGGUGAAAUUCGUAGAUAUCGGGAGGAACACCGGUGGCGAAGGCGGCGAUCUGGGUAGAUACUGACGCUGAGGCACGAAGGCCAGGGGAGCAAACGGG
rnacentral:rRNA from 1 species